CCUCUCUAACAUCACUGAGUACACAGGACCUCACCAUGAGAUGGAACUGUAUCAUUCUCUUCCUGGCAGCAACGGCUAUAGGUGUCCACUCUCAGGUCCAGCUACAGCAGUCUGGGGCUGAGCUGGUGAGGCCUGGUGCCUCAGUGAAGAUGUCCUGCAAGGCUUCUGGCUACACAUUCACUGACUACAAUAUGCACUGGGUAAAGCAGAGUCAUGGAAAGAAUCUUGAGUGGAUUGGAAUUAUUAAUCCUUCCAAUGCUGGUACUAUCUGUAAUCAGAACUUCAAGGACAAGGCCACAUUGACUGUAGACAAAUCCUCCAGCACAGCCUAUAUGGAGCUUAGCAGAUUAACAUCUGAGGAUUCUGCUGUCUAUUACUGUGCAAGACACAGUGUUGCAACCACAUCCUGA